AGGAUGAACGCUGGCGGCGUGCCUAACACAUGCAAGUCGAACGUCCUGUCUCGCAAGAGGCAGGGAGUGGCGGACGGGUGAGUACCACGUGGGUCAUCUACCGUGAGGUGAGGAAUACCGGCGAGAAAUCGCCGACAAGACCGCAUAGGCUCGAUGCAAGUCGAGCAAAGCUCUUUCGAGAGAGGGAGCGCCACACGAGGAGCCUGCGCCCGAUUAGCUAGCUGGUGGAGUAACGGUUCACCAGGGCGACGAUCGGUAGCUGGUCUGAGAGGACGAUCAGCCACACUGGGAUUGAGAACGGCCCCAGACUCCUACGGGGGGCAGCAGUGAGGAAUUUUCGUCAAUGGGGGCAACCCUGAACGAGCAACGCCGCGUGCAGGAAGAGGUUUUCGGAUCGUAAACUGCUUUUCUCGGGGAAGAGAACGGACGGUACCCGAGGAAUCAGCCCCGGCUAACUACGCGCCAGCAGCCGCGGU
rnacentral:rRNA from 1 species